GGAGAGGUGCCGGAGUGGUCGAACGGGACGGUUUCGAAAACCGUUGAGCCUCUAAAGGGUUCCCAGGGUUCGAAUCCCUGUCUCUCCGCCA
rnacentral:tRNA from 8 species